UACGUAGGUGGCAAGCGUUGUCCGGAAUUAUUGGGCGUAAAGCGCGCGCAGGCGGUCCUUUAAGUCUGAUGUGAAAGCCCACGGCUCAACCGUGGAAGGUCAUUGGAAACUGGAGGACUUGAGUACAGAAGAGGAAAGCGGAAUUCCACGUGUAGCGGUGAAAUGCGUAGAGAUGUGGAGGAACACCAGUGGCGAAGGCGGCAUCCUGGACCGGUAUUGACGCUGAGGCGCGAAAGCCAGGGGAGCAAACGGG
rnacentral:rRNA from 1 species